rnacentral:rRNA from 1 species
CCUACGGGUGGCAGCAGUCGAGAAUCAUUCACAAUGGGGGAAACCCUGAUGGUGCGACGCCGCGUGGGGGAAUGAAGGUCUUCGGAUUGUAAACCCCUGUCAUGUGGGAGCAAAUUAAAAAGAUAGUACCACAAGAGGAAGAGACGGCUAACUCUGUGCCAGCAGCCGCGGUAAUACAGAGGUCUCAAGCGUUGUUCGGAAUCACUGGGCGUAAAGUGUGCGUAGGCUGUUUCGUAAGUCGUGUGUGAAAGGCGCGGGCUCAACCCGCGGAAGGCACAUGAUACUGCGAGACUAGAGUAAUGGAGGGGGAACCGGAAAUCUCGGUGCAGCAGUGAAAUGCGUAGAUAACGAGAGGAACACUCGUGGCGAAGGCGGGUUCCUGGACAUUAACUGACGCUGAGGCACGAAGGCCAGGGGAGCGAAAGGGAUUAGAUACCCCAGUAGUC